AUUGAACGCUGGCGGCAUGCCUUACACAUGCAAGUCGAACGGCAGCACGGGAGCAAUCCUGGUGGCGAGUGGCGAACGGGUGAGUAAUAUAUCGGAACGUGCCCAGUCGUGGGGGAUAACGCAGCGAAAGCUGUGCUAAUACCGCAUACGAUCUACGGAUGAAAGCGGGGGAUCGCAAGACCUCGCGCGAUUGGAGCGGCCGAUAUCAGAUUAGCUAGUUGGUGAGGUAAAGGCUCACCAAGGCGACGAUCUGUAGCGGGUCUGAGAGGAUGAUCCGCCACACUGGAACUGAGACACGGUCCAGACUCCUACGGGUGGCUG
rnacentral:rRNA from 1 species